rnacentral:rRNA from 1 species
CCUACGGGAGGCAGCAGUGAGGAAUAUUGGUCAAUGGGCGCGAGCCUGAACCAGCCAAGUAGCGUGAAGGAUGACUGCCCUAUGGGUUGUAAACUUCUUUUAUAUGGGAAUAAAGUGAAGCACGUGUGCCUUUUUGUAUGUACCAUAUGAAUAAGGAUCGGCUAACUCCGUGCCAGCAGCCGCGGUAAUACGGAGGAUCCGAGCGUUAUCCGGAUUUAUUGGGUUUAAAGGGAGCGUAGGUGGACUGUUAAGUCAGUUGUGAAAGUUUGCGGCUCAACCGUAAAAUUGCAGUUGAUACUGGCAGUCUUGAGUACAGUAGAGGUGGGCGGAAUUCGUGGUGUAGCGGUGAAAUGCUUAGAUAUCACGAAGAACUCCGAUUGCGAAGGCAGCUCACUGGACUGUAACUGACACUGAUGCUCGAAAGUGUGGGUAUCAAACAGGAUUAGAUACCCUUGUAGUC